rnacentral:lncRNA from 1 species
CACAAUGUGAUUAUUAUCAAAACUCAUUUCAGACAAUAAAUCAUUCAACCAAAUCCCUUCUUUAUAUAAGAACUCGAUAAUAGAAAAAUGGAAUAUGAAUGUCUAUUUUUCUACUAAGCUAAAAGCCUAAAAGUUUCCACAACACAAUACUUCAUAUGUCAGAAUACUUCAUAUGUCUAACAAUAAAUUCAACCUUAAAACAUACAACUGUAAUAGUGUAGAAUAAGAUUCAGACAAUUGGACAAAAGCACAAAAACAAAUCCAAAUAAUGACUUCGAUUGAAGCAUCCUCAAACAGACAGUGGAAAGAAACAAUUUCAGGUUAUGAUUUCUACCUUGGACCUAUCAAAAUUAUGAUUUCUAAUUUACAAAUUCCUCAAUUUCGACUCAUUUUCAACAGAAUCUUACAUAGAAGCAUUCAAAUUCCAGAAAACUGAGAGAGGUAAAAAAUUGAAAAAUAUGUAUUCAGAGAUGUCGAACGUGAUGAGAAGUUGGUGGAUUGUGGAUACGGAAUUCUUUAGGGGACCUGCAUCAACAAUACAAAUAUUGUUGUUGCCAGAUUUCUCAAGGAUACAUGAAACACGUUCCUAAUCCCUAAGAAAAUACAUCAUAUAAAUGAAUGAGCAUGACCUUUAAAGCCAGUUACGGAGCCAGAUUACAGAAAUCAAGGUCUCAUACAGUUACACUUUAUGUGCACGAAAAUUCAAGAAUUCAACAACACUGUCAUGCCAAAAAAAUGCAUAAUGUCAUGUAAGCAUAGAUUACCACUUCACCAUUUCCAUCAAGCAAUACAAUCAAUCAUGCAUCUGAGAGCACAAGCAUCACAUUCUACUGACGACUAAGCUUCAUACUGUGCAACAGAUAUUCCAUGCUGCUAUCAAAAUUUCCUCCUGAUUUAUGUUUAAUCAUACUUAUUAUCAGAUAUAAAAUCAAAUGCUAGCUGCUGUUAUUCAACUGAAACUUACAAUUUCUACAAAGGUCAACCACCACAUCGUUAUUAAUUUUUAUUCCUACAUCAUAAUAUGCCAUAAUAACCUGCAUUUGAUCGGUAAAAUACUAUUGAUACCAAAUGUGAAAUUACUUAUCAUUGUCAAUUUAGCUUCGAGUAUUUAAUCAACAAGACAAACAUGAUAUGAGCCUCUUUGGUACAUCUUUAUAUAAGAACUCGAUAAUAGAAAAAUGGAAUAUGAAUGUCUAUUUUUCUACUAAGCUAAAAGCCUAAAAGUUUCCACAACACAGAAUACUUCAUAUGUCUAACAGUACAUUCAACCUUAAAACAUACAACUGUAAUAGUAUAGAAUAAGAUUCAGACAAUCGGACAAAAGCACAAAAACAAAUCCAAAUAAUUGAAGCAUCCUCAAAAAGACAGUGGAAAGAAACAAUUUCAGGUUAAUUAAUAAGAAAAAUAAAGCUAAGACCAUGAUAAAACCUGCACAGUCACUAGAAUUUACCCCUUGGACCUAUCAAAAUUAUGAUUUCUAUUUACAAAUUCCUCAAUUUCGACUAAUUUUCAACAGAAUCUUACAUAGAAUCAUUCAAAUUCCAGAAAACUGAGAGAGGUAAAAAAUUGAAAAAGAAAACUUCGCACCUUCAAGCACCGUCGGAAUAAUGUAUUCAGAUAUUUACUUUUUCCCAAUUCCUUUUUAUUAUCAACCAAAUUUUAUUGCCGAGCAUUUUAGUUAACAAGGGAAAAAGGAAUAACGGAGUUUACCAAGACCACGCGGGGUGCUGAAGUGUGUUAGCUUUCGAAGAAAGAUCAAAGACCCCAUUUUUCCCCUCGUUUUUUGUUCUCAAUUUCAGACAAUUGAAGGUAAAAUCAAGCGGAAAUUGAAAUCAUACGAGAAAAGGGAACCAAAAAUGAUUAAGAAGAGAGAAGUGAAUAUCUAACUGUUUUUAUUAAUGGAUUUUGUGGAGCUGAGUAAUUUACGUAUCUGUGUUCAUGGCGCGUUUUCCGACCGCCGUUUCCGGUGUGCUCAAAACAAGUCUGGCAUUUGCCUGUGUAAUAAUCUUGGGUAAAAAGCACACCAGUCACUCAACUUUCAGUCAAAUUUUAUUUUAGUCAUCCAACUUUUUUC